rnacentral:tRNA from 1 species
GCCCGGGUGGUCUAGUGGUAUGAUUCUCGCUUAGGGUUCACCCUUAGCAUAUAUGCGAGAGGUCCCGCGUUCGAUCCGCGGCUCGGGCC